rnacentral:misc_RNA from 1 species
AUCUGUAUACACACACACGCACGCACGCACGCACGCACGCAUCCCAUCGUUUCCGCUACGGAGUAUCACCGCGUACUCACUCAACAGACCUUGCGUAGCAGCCUUCUCCCGGUUUCCCAUCCCCUCCCCUCCUCGUCUCUCUUUGGCACCCGAACAGAGUGAACUACCAAGGUACAGCCAUGAGUGAACCCCACGUCCCCACCGCUGCUGCGCAGCAGCCUUCUGCAGAAACAACCACUAACGCUUCCCUCGCAGCAGACGCAACUGCUCACACGAGUCCACAGGCACCGCCGCCCCCGACCGCUUCUGGUGCCUCCACCGUCUCCGUUAGUGUAGCCGAGGCGAAGUCGGUCGCCGCCACGCUGUCAGACGUAGCCGACUCAACGGAGCCGUUGCUCGUGGGCAAGGUUGUGUCCUCAGACAUCGCCCAAGCGCGCUCGCAGCCCUGCACCUCUGGCCUCAACGCUGCUCAGAGCGGCGCAGGUGCACCAGUGGGUGCUAACGUUGGCAAGCAGGACAGGUGUUCUCCACCCGCGAAAUCUACCUCGUCUUCCUCUUCUUCGCACAGUGGCGACGAGUCCAGCGAUGAGGCUGCCGACUUCGAAACGAAAGAGCUCAUGUUCGCCUUUGGACGCUACGUCGGCCAGGUGAAUCCGCGGACGGGGCUCCGUCAUGGCCACGGGUGUCAGCACUACAACAACGGCAACGUCUACACGGGCGAGUGGCGUGAUGGCGCCCCCGACGGCUUUGGCGAGAAGCACUACAGGAACGGGGAUGUGUACCGCGGCAACUGGCGCCAAGGGAAGCGCUCCGGCCGUGGUGUGUAUCUCUUUGUACAGGGGGACAUCUACGAAGGCAUGUACGCGGACGACAAGCCGGAGGGCCAGGGCACCUACGCCACCCUGAGGGGCGAUCGCUACUCGGGGCAGUGGAAAGCUGGGCAGAGGCACGGCAAAGGCCGCGAGACUCUCGCGAAUGGGCAGGUGUUUGUCGGCAACUGGCGUUGCGGCAAGAAGCAGGGCCGUGGCAAGCUCUGCCUCCCCGGCUCUGAGAAGUGCAUUUACGGAAUUUGGAACAACGACAGGUUCUUCCGCGAGCUCACGCCCAACGAAAUGGGCGCGGAUGGCGCCGAAGACGUUGUGGACGCGUUCGGCGCCCAACGCCGCCCGUCCGCGCCGUCUUUGGCGCCGCCGCGGACGGAGGCCCCUCCAUCCAGCGCGAGCAUAACCGAUCGCGUGCUCAUGGGGGUGACGGCGCUGGAGAACCGUAUGGAGUCGCUUGGGAGAGCACUGGAGAGGGUGAUCACCGGCGGUGACGGGGACGAGAGCGCGCACGUGCCACGUGCCGCAGCCAUUGGAGCCGCUAGUUCGACGGCAAGUGAUGUAGCCGUCUCAGAGGAGUGUGCUGAGCCUCCGGCGCAAGACUUUGUCGUCAACAGCCACCAAGAGAAUGAUGAAGACGGCGAACAGGGCUAGGCGGUGGUGGUGACAGAGAUGGAACCUCGCCGUUUCGGACCACCUCCUACCCUGCUGCUGCGACGCUCACGCCAUCAGCAGUGGCGCUCUCAGCAGCACGCGGUGAUCACCCAACGCGGAGCGAGAGGGAGGCGCAGCCGCCGAGGGAAGGAUGAGGGCCAGGAAGCCGUGUCAGUGCCCCUUGCAAGGAGACAUUGAUGUGGGUGGUUGCGCUAAGGUGGCUGGCCGAUACGAAUGCCCCAAUCCCUCUCUCGCUCGCUUUCCAUUGACCUGCGUUUAGAAGGAUCUAUGCAUGUGGCGGUUUACCUUCACGGCUUUGAAAGUCGCUGUCCUCGGGCAACACCUUCCACACGCACGCGGACGCGAAGACAUAUACGCCUCUCCCUUCUGUUCGAUUUCUCUCAUUCUCAGCCACCGGACGAUGCUGCCAUGCACGGAUCACGUGCACAUCUUCCACUAAAAGCACCGCCACCGUCUUACACGGCUCGCAUAGUCGUAGUGUUCCCACUACACACGCACAUACACGCCCCUCUCUUUUCCCUCCCUCCCUCCCCCUUCGUAGAUUUAAGCGCACUCGCGAGCUUUCCUCUUUUUUUCCCCGUUUUUUUUUUGCUUCCUUACGCGCACUGCCGCUGCUGCUGUUUUUGGUCGCCUCUUUUCGGAGGAUCUCACCCACUUUCGUGCUCGCGCUGGUGCUGGCGCUGGGGUGUGUCUCUCUCUUCCACUACUUUGCUCUUUCGGCAACAUGGACUGGACACCGGCACCGUGCCUUGAUCGCCGAAUUCAUCCGCAAAGACCGCCAUGCCCACCGAAGCGGCACAGAAGCGAGGACGCGUGGACCCCGGUCACCACCGCAACACGAAAGCGCCCCACAGCGGGAGGGCGAAUCGCCCACACCGUCACACCCGCCACAGCGACCCCACGCAUGCACAGCUGCAACGGGUCACGCGAGGAUGAGGUGAACUUCAUCGCGAGACUUGUGGCCGAGUCCUCCAGAAAGCUGUCCCAUCUGGCGCAGUUGCUUAUAAGCCGUUCUGGACGCCAGAGCUGACGCGAUGGGAAGCAGCUCUCGAGAGGGUAUCCUGUGUGUCUCCCGGGCAUCGUCAUCUCCGAUAUGCUCAUCAAAGAGCUCCAACAAGCCAGCCUUGAAGGGUGGACACAGUCCUGCAACGCCCUCUCACCCCCCAGAGACCCUCGAUCAUGGGCACGGAUUGAGUCUGUCCACGUCCCCCUGCAACGCACACGCCAGCAAUGCGACAAGGCUGCCGCCACCCGAGUGCGCGAGAGCAGGCCAGCGCAUUGGUAAAGGCGCACCAACAGACGUCGAGGCGACAUCCGGCAGUGCGCCCCUCCUCUGCGUCCCACCGAGACGCAGGUCCGCGCCUCUCAGACCGCUCAUGGUGGGUGAGCUCGAAAAUGGCACACCGUGGAGUCCACCGCGGCCCCGCGCCGGGCGUCGACGAAAUUCACCGCGACAGCGUCAAGGCCCUCCCGGUGCGCGGUAGGGAGAGUGCGGCUGAACAUCUAAAGCCAGAGGGUCGCUACAGGCCGCGUCGCUGCUACGUGGAAAAGAGGGGCACAGUGAGCCCCUCCUGAAACCGCACAAGCCCGACGGCGGUCCCGCGCCCGACCGCCCUGCGACGUUGACCAUGAAUCUAUGCAAGCCGCUCGAACGAAUGAGCUCGCGACGACUGCGCGACCAUCUGGCAGGCAAGCCCCCGUCCCCGACCGCAGCGUCCUGACUUCCGUCCCCGCCGCUCCACCGCGGACCUCUGUACUUGCUCCUCCGCAAAGUCAUGCAGCGUGCUCGGCAGGUGCGAAAAUCGGAGCGGCGCUUGCAGACCCUACGCUCGCGUCUUCGGCUGUGUAGAUCACAGCACUGAGGAGAGUCAAGCUGUAGGCCCGUACCGUACUCGCUGGGUCAUGGAUUACUUGCAUGCGGAGACCCGCAAGGGUCAGUCCUAGGCCCUCUCCUCUUCAUCCUUGUGGCGGACCCGCUGGGUGUGGAGCAGUAGAGCGGGGGCUUGGCCUGCUGCGAGGGCACGCCUCUCAUCCGAGGCACGGAGGAGCAAGCGUGGCUGCUGUUGCGGGGCCGCUCUCCCUCCUCACGGGCCGCGCAACGGCCGAAGAGGGCCUAUGGCGGCGUACCUUGGCACAACUGCGGACGCUACGAUCCCGUCGCAAGCGCCUCUCAUUUUCGGUUGUCUUUGCCCCUUGGACGCUGCAGUACGAUGAGGAAGUUGGCAAGUUUGCGAAAUCAGCAAUGUCAGUGGAGCCGACGCCGACUGCAUGGAUCAGCGAUCCGAUCACCGCUUCUCAGCCGCCAGGCGGGCAUCCCCCCAAAAUCGCGGUGCAGGAUGCGGCACGCCACAACGAGAGGUACUCGACGGCCACCGUUCCACACCAAUGAGCAAGGAUUCUGAGCUCACCGAGCGACAGGAGUCCACCGUCGCCCAGCUCCAUACGGGUCGCAUGGAGUGCGGAUGCUGCGCUGGCUGCUCCUCCGCUAGCAUCGUGGUACUCCCCCCCCGCCCCCGCGUGAUUCUGCUAUGAGAGCGUCCGCUCUGGCGCUGCGCCGAAGACGCUACGCGAGAUUUGCGGAUCGCUCGAGGCCCAGAGCACACCUCAUUUCACGCUGUGGCCUUGCGUGCAAUGAUGUGAGUGCACAUGUGCUCCUUGCGCUGCGUGAGCCUCCUCCGUUCGGUGUCUGUGGCUGCCCCCUGCGCCCCCCUUCAGAAUGGCAGGCUGUGAGCCCUUCGUGCCCAGGCACAUGCCUCUCCGCGGGCCCAUUCCGCUCAGCGCACCCACUGCGGUGAAAGGUGUGCGAAUUCGGGAGAAGGCGGAGUGUCCCUGCCGCCACAGGCUCACGGCAGCGUCCCAUCUGCCGCGGCACAUGCGGGCAAGCCGUCCAGACACGCCCCCAUGGCAUCGACGGAAAUGGAAUGUAAUAACAGCGAGCCCCCCCCCCAUCCCCAGGCAGCAACGCCGUCCUGACGCAGAGCCCAGGAUGCAAGAGUGCGAGCGCUGUGCGCACGAGCUGUCAAGUACGGCUGGCAUGGCGUAUCGCAUCCGACCAAAGCAUCCCGAGGCUGGCAGAGCGCGACUGAUGGACGAGAAAGGUGCGAAGAGACUCGAUACCGACCAGCCCCACAGUGCAUGCGCGCGAAGCAUGCGGCAUCCUCUCCAUGUGACCGGGUGGGCUGAUGAGGCGCAGACGCCGGAGGCAUCACGCCAGCACCGCGAGUUGCACCAGCGAGUCCUCUCCAGGCUCACGUGUGUGGCGAGUCACCACACCCUAUCAUGCAAUGCCGCGGCUUGAAGCGACUUAGGAAGAGGCACGGCGUGCCGGCCGGGUGCAGGGCCUCAGCGAGGGCCCUGGCCUGAGGCUGGCCAACCUCCUCCCGGAGCUCAUCUGGCCUGCGCCUAGACCCAUCCCCUACUACCCGCACGGCAGACGCCACCGCCACCGCCCUCGAGCAGGACCCUGGACGCGGCCCGCACAGGUCAAGGCAUGCAGUUCACGCAAGGCCGCCUGGCGCCGGUCGCGCAGCACGUACCUGACGAAGGGCUGAGGGAGGAGAGGGCGAGCCCGCACGACGCACGGCCCCGAUUCGACGGCAGGGCGGUUCGUUCUAGAGGGUCGGGGAUGGUGCCGUGGUGCAGCAGGGCCAGGUGAGCGGUGGUUGCCUGCAUCUAUCGGCUGACUUGUACGUGGUGGGAUGGGCGCGUGGGAAGAUAUGUGAAAGGCAGGAACGCUGCAUUGCUUCUUCGCAUCUCUCUCUGUGCGCAUGUCGGCUUACCUUUCCUUCUGCCUAUCUGCAUCGAUCUCUUUUGUCGUCUGAUGCAUGUCUUGAGGCAGGCUCACCAGCGCUCAGUCCGUCGCUCGCGCAGUCCGCUGUGUCUCCGCUUGCAGACGGUGUGUACAUCAGUAUAACAACAAAAAGCGAUCGCACGGUAGAACGCGGCGCUGAUGCGUCUGUGUCUUCCGCUGCAUGGGGCUGCUUUGGUGUUUACCAGCGCUCCCUUUUUUUUCUUUUUUUUUCGGCACUCUCUGGUACAAGGCGGACGUACGUGGGUGGUUGGGGGCACAGGAAGGCGUGCGCACAUUAGAGCGCAGGAGGAAGAGGAGGAAGGGAUCAAAGGCCUGCGUCAUUCUGCCGAUACAGUCGUGCAGCAGAACGAGGCUGUCGUUUUUCCGGCUGCUCGCCACUUUUCCUCCCUCCUUCAUCUUUCCGCCGGCUCCUUGGCCGCCACGGGCUCGCGCCCUCGUGCACUUCACACCGCCGCAGCUGCUCCGUCUGCAGGUUGCCUUGAUGGGCCUCUGAGGCCAGCCGUGUUUCUUUUUGCCCCACCGUCGAUGCACCUGACGUGACUGCCCUUCGCGUCGCCUCUUUGCCCGUCAUCUCUGUGCUGGUACUCCUCCGCCCCAUCACCACUGCGCUGCCCGUCCUUUGCGUCCGCGUUAG